AAUUUUGAUUAGUCAUAUGUCAGCCUUAGUUGGCCCAACGAGAGAUUUGAUUGUUCCAGGACUACAUUGCCGUGCACUAGUUAUGUUCAGAGUACACGUUACAAUGGCACGGCAAUGUAGCUAUGAAUACACCGUUGUCCAACAUGUGUCUUUCUGUCAACCAAAUUGGAAGAAAUAAGUUCAAUGCUACAUCAGCCAAGAACUGAAUGGUUGUAACAGCAGAUGAGUACGUAGCGGCAAAACAGAUGCUAUGAGAAAUUUUCUAACCACAAGGACUGUGCUUGGAGAAACUUUUUUGUCUUGCCAAUUUGCCAUGUAUAUAUACUAAUAUUGAAAGUUCUCAGAAACAUAACACAAUCUACUCAAGACUGUGUAAUCAUCAUAUUAGGAUAACAAUUGAUUCUCCUUAAAAUGUUUUGUGAUCUCUGUCCUCCAUGAGCAGGACGAAAAAUAUAUUUUAUAGAAUACCACAGGAACAUUAGCGAUCAUUUCUACAUUAGCAAGAGGAACAACUCACAGCACGAGUGGCAAGUUCUUCUGCAGUUCAGUUACAUUUUUUUAACCGAUAGAUCAACAUCCAAGUAUUUAGUUUUCCCCUUGUGCCAAAAACAUGUUCCAAUUUAUAGUAAAGAAAUGUGGUUCGGUCGAUCCAUAAAAAUAUUUAAGAAAUUCAAAUCUAGACAAACAUAAAAACACAUCUAGGUAAAUAAAAACACAUGUAUGUGUAGGGCGAGGGACAAGGUUGUGGGUGACCAACACGUUCAGACCCAUCAUACCUCAUUUAUAGUUAAACAAAAUAAAAUCGCUGAUGAGAACAUGGCUAGCUUACAUAUCAAAAAUAAAAAUGUAUAUGUUCUACGUGAGACUUACGUGUUAUCUAAAGUAGUGAAAAAAGUAAAGUUUUUUGUCACCAUAUUGCGCCACGUCAUCAAAGUAAUAAGGGCCGUUCGAUUCUUACUCUAGACGUUGGUGGUCGUUGGAUCCUAUAAUUGGCAUAGUAUAUUCUAGGCCCUUGAGGAAACUCCUAUCUAUUUCUAGUCCUUACACAUCCUUAUAACUCUUUUGUUUUUCAUUUUCACCCUUCCUCCUCCCACACCGUGAGGCACCCACCCUGACGCUCUGUCUUCUCGCACUCGCGGCGCCGUCUCGCACUCAUCGUCGUUGUCGACCUUGGAGCCACCCGCCGCUGCCGCUGCCUCAUCGACUCCUCUCCAAGACCCCAUCACCACCGCUGGCCCCCUCUCCAUCUGUACUGCUGCACAGUAUCCUCCAUCGAUCCCCUAUUCCGGCGGCGGCCACACCUCCUGUCCUUUCCAUCCAAAAUGCCACUGCGUCGAUUCAUUCCCUCCUGGCCGCUCUCCAGCUCCUCCUCCAUGGUUAUGUCUCCUAGUGGCUUGGAGCUGGCAACACCAGAGGGAGGUAGUGAUGGAGCCGGCUCAAGAAGACCCAAAACGCCGGUGUGGCGAACAAUGCUUCAGAUCCGAUAGUGGCCAGAGACGAUUGUAGAUUACCAUUAAGUAAUUUGAGUACAGUUGAGGAACUACCAGGUAGUAGUAUUUGGAUUUGUAAUAUGGAUGCUUAUGUUCAGCUGAAGCAUCAACAAUUGCAACUUGCUACUUCUGAAUAUCACCAUGAGUUUGUCCUGAUUAGUGUCUGUUUCGGAUGAAGGUGUCCGAACCUUUGUGUAGACAAUAGAAGGGAAAUUCUAUAAAAAAUAGGAAAAUGUGUUGUUUAAUUUUGAUUUCAUAUAGUCAUCCGAAUUUUUAAUAGGAUUAUUCUUGCAUCAGAGUGAGUUAGUGUCACAAUGUUAACCCCUACUUAUGUAAUUCGUGAGUUUCUCUGCAAAGCUUGAGCAUGGGUCAAAAUGAUUGCAAUAUAUUUGAUGUAUGUAAUUUUUUGUAUCAAUAAUUUCAUUAGGAAGCAGCAAAUUCAUUGUAGCCAGUAAUGGCUGUCAUUUGUAGAUCUUUUGAACAAAGCUGAAGCCAUAUCCAGAAUUAACCAAUGGAUACAAUGCAUUAGGAGAAGGUUUGUUUUUUUUUUGGCGGAUCAUGGAUAGUUGAAGCCUCUAUAUUGAGAGUAUGACAUUAUUUAUACUUAACAGGAUAGUUUGCUACUUUGCUUGAUAUGCCAUUAUUCUUUAUUUCCUAUGCCCCUUCCCUUCCAGAGCAUAAAUGGUCUUUUAGUUCGAAUCUACUAAGCAUCUUCUCCUAUUGUCUUUUAGUGUUUCUGCAAUUGGUUUAUUACUUAUAAAAUCAUGGUGUUAACCACCUAAUUUUGUUUACAUAAUUUCUCUCUCAUGCAUAAUCCUUUUCAGGGCAAUCUACAGCAUGAACACACUGGUAGCAGUUGUACGUAUAUACCUGGUCCUGGGCCAAGGUAAUAGCUGAUUACACUUCUUAUAUAUCCACCUCAGAUUGCAUGUUUUUGCAGAGAAGCCAUGUGAAGUGUUCCUGGAGUUUGGUGGAUAUAGGCAAAGUGAUAUUCUUUUAAGAAAAUCAAAGACAUGGUGUGUAUCACAGUGAGUCGAAUUGUCCAAUUUUCUUUUCUAACUCAUGUUGUGAAUGGAGACAUGCAUCUUAGUGGAAAUCCAGAGCUAUCAUGCAGGUUAUGAAUCCCUCAUUCAAGUUGUUUGUGAUAGAAGUACUAAAUACUUCACCUUUUUAUUUCAGGCGCUAUAAGCUGCAGAGGUUCCAUCUCACCAUGUAUUGUUAAAAGUCAGUGUUUCCAAUGUAAUUGUUGGGCAUACAAAUUGCAGGAUGGUUGCAGCAGAGCAAUAAAGCAAUUUUCAAACUACAUAAUAAGAUCAUUGGGCAUUAAAUAGGUGCAGCUCAAUUAUUUUUCCUGACAAUUGCCUACAUGAUAUCUAUUCACGAUGACAAAAUAGAGAAGAGACAUUUUACUGCAGUUCAGCACUCUGAAGAACCGGACAGGAAUUUCGUCAGCACAAAACAAUACCAGAUUGGAUAAAAACCGGAGAUACACAGAGACUUUACCCGUUGUAAUCACCCUGUUAUUUCACUAUCCAAUGAGAUCUGCAAACCAAAUAUUUAAAAAGCAUGA